CCUACGGGGGACAGCAGUGAGGAAUAUUGGUCAAUGGGCGAGAGCCUGAACCAGCCAAGUCGCGUGAAGGAUGAAGGAUCUAUGGUUUGUAAACUUCUUUUAUAUGGGAAUAAAGUGAGGAACGUGUGCCUGUUUGUAUGGACCAUAUGAAUAAGCAUCGGCUAACUCCGGGCCAGCAGCCGCGGUAAUACGGAGGAUGCGAGCGUUCUCCGGAUUUAUUGGGUUUAAAGGGUGCGUAGGUGGUUAAUUAAGUCAGCGGUGAACGUUUGUGGCUCACCCCUAAAAUUGCCGUUGAAACGGGUUGACUUGCGUAUAUUUGAGGUAGGCGGACUGCGUGGUGUAGCGGU
rnacentral:rRNA from 1 species